rnacentral:tRNA from 1 species
GGGGGAUUAGCUCAGCGGGAGAGCAUCGGCUUUGCAAGCCGAGGGUCAUCGGUUCGAUCCCGAUAUCCUCCA